UACGUAGGGGGCUAGCGUUGUCCGGAAUCAUUGGGCGUAAAGAGCUCGUAGGCGGUUUGUCGCGUCGAAUGUGAAAACCCGGGGCUCAACCCCGGGCCUGCAUUCGAUACGGGCAGACUAGAGUUCGGUAGGGGAGUCUGGAAUUCCUGGUGUAGCGGUGAAAUGCGCAGAUAUCAGGAGGAACACCGGUGGCGAAGGCGGGACUCUGGGCCGAUACUGACGCUGAGGAGCGAAAGCGUGGGGAGCAAACAGG
rnacentral:rRNA from 1 species